rnacentral:rRNA from 1 species
AGAUUGAACGCUGGCGGCAGGCCUAACACAUGCAAGUCGAGCGGUAGAGAGGUGCUUGCAUCUCUUGAGAGCGGCGGACGGGUGAGUAAUGCCUAGGAAUCUGCCUAGUGGUGGGGGAUAACGUUCGGAAACGGACGCUAAUACCGCAUACGUCCUACGGGAGAAAGUCGGGGGACCUUCGGGCCUCGCGCCAUUAGAUGAGCCUAGGUCGGAUUAGCUAGUUGGUGAGGUAAUGGCUCACCGAAGGCGACGAUCCGUAACUGGUCUGAGAGGAUGAUCAGUCACACGUAGGAACUGAGACACGGGUCCAGUACGUCCGUACGGGAGGCAGCGAAGGUGGGAAUAGUUAGGACAAGUGGGACGAAAGCGUAGAGU